rnacentral:tRNA from 1 species
UAAGAUUUAGCAACCCAAUUAAGUUAGGUAUUAGUAUGGGUGUAUCAAUUAUAUAACAAUAUUUUAUAUUUCUAUCGAAAUUGUACCGUACUUCAAAAAAUACUUUAUAAAUUUUUAAAUUAAUAUAUAUUAUAUCUUUGAUAUA